rnacentral:rRNA from 1 species
RAAAHGACUGUUGACAACGGAUAUCUGGGCUCUUGCAUCGAUGAACAACGUAGCAAAAUGCGAUACCUGGUGUGAAUURCAGUAUCCUGCGAACCAUCGAGUCUUUGAAUGCAAGUUGCACCCGAGGCCGCCAGGCCGAGGGCAUGCCUGCCUGGGCAUCACGC